GACGUAGGGCGCGAGCGUUGUCCGGAUUUAUUGGGCGUAAAGAGCUCGUAGGCGGUCUGUCGCGUCUGCUGUGAAAACUCGGGGCUUAACCCCGGGCCUGCAGUGGGUACGGGCAGACUAGAGUGCGGUAGGGGAGACUGGAAUUCCUGGUGUAGCGGUGAAAUGCGCAGAUAUCAGGAAGAACACCCGUGGCGAAGGCGGUUCUCUGGGACGGUACUGACGCUGAGACGCGAAAGCGUGGGGAGCAAACAGG
rnacentral:rRNA from 1 species